rnacentral:rRNA from 1 species
AGUGAACGCUGGCGGUAGGCCUAACACAUGCAAGUCGAACGGCAGCACAGUAAGAGCUUGCUCUUACGGGUGGCGAGUGGCGGACGGGUGAGGAAUACAUCGGAAUCUACUUUUUCGUGGGGGAUAACGUAGGGAAACUUACGCUAAUACCGCAUACGACCUACGGGUGAAAGCAGGGGAUCUUCGGACCUUGCGCGAUUGAAUGAGCCGAUGUCGGAUUAGCUAGUUGGCAGGGUAAAGGCCCACCAAGGCGACGAUCCGUAGCUGGUCUGAGAGGAUGAUCAGCCACACUGGAACUGAGACACGGUCCAGACUCCUACGGGAGGCAGCAGUGGGGAAUAUUGGACAAUGGGCGAAAGCCUGAUCCAGCCAUACCGCGUGGGUGAAGAAGGCCUUCGGGUUGUAAAGCCCUUUUGUUGGGAAAGAAAAGCAGCAGGUUAAUACCCCGCUGUUCUGACGGUACCCAAAGAAUAAGCACCGGCUAACUUCGUG